GAACGCUGGCGGCAUGCCUAACACAUGCAAGUCGAACGGCAGCAGGUAUCAGUUUACUGAUAUGCUGGCGAGUGGCGCACGGGUGAGUAACGCGUAGGAAUAUGCCUUGAAGUGGGGGAUAACUUGAGGAAACUUGAGCUAAUACCGCAUAAUAUCCAUGGAUUAAAGCUGGGGACCUUUUAGGCCUGGCGCUUCAAGAUUAGCCUACGUCCGAUUAGCUAGUUGGUGGGGUAAAGGCCUACCAAGGCGACGAUCGGUAGCUGGUCUGAGAGGAUGGUCAGCCACACUGGGACUGAGACACGGCCCAGACUCCUACGGGAGGCAGCAGUGGGGAAUAUUGGACAAUGGGGGCAACCCUGAUCCAGCAAUGCCGCGUGUGUGAAGAAGGCCUACGGGUUGUAAAGCACUUUCAGUGGGGAGGAGAGGUAGUUGUUUAAGAGAUAAUUACUGAGACGUUACCCACAGAAGCAGCACCGGCUAACUCCGUG
rnacentral:rRNA from 1 species